CAGCCGUAAACAAUGUGCGUUAGGUAUGUCGGUAACCACGUGUUACUGAUGUGCCGAAGAGAAAUCGUGAAACGCAUCACCUGGGAAGUACGGUCGCAAGGCUGAAACUUAAAGGAAUUGGCGGGGGAGCACCACAACAGGUGGAGCCUGCGGUUUAAUUGGAUUCAACACCGUAAAACUCACCAGGGAAGACUGUUACAUGAAGGCCGAGAUGAAGACUCUGCUAGAUUUUCAGAGAGGUGGUGCAUGGCGUCAGUGACU
rnacentral:rRNA from 1 species